CGUGGGGUGGCCUCAUUGCGUUUAGCUGGUAUAUUCCUAAAGAAUUUACAUGUAAAUGCAACUAUGGGUGUUUUACAUUUCAUAUAUAAGUUAAGUGACAUCUUUACAGAUGAACUUCAAACUUUUCUCCAGUCCCACAGGUUUUUACCCCAGUAAGUCUGUCAUGCUGUGUUCCCGAAGUAGGAGAGUAAGUACUUACUUGUUGUUUUUCUUUUCUUGAUUUUAGACAUGCAAAGCAGCCCACACAACCAGUUCACCUUCAGGCCACUCCCACCACCGCCACCUCCUCCACAUGCCUGCACCUGUGCCAGGAAGCCACCUCCUACAGUGGACUCUCUUCAAAGAAGGUCGAUGACUACCCGCAGCCAGCCCAGUCCAGCUGCUCCUGCUCCUCCAACCAGCACACAGGAUUCAGUUCAUCUGCAUAACAGCUGGGUCUUGAACAGUAACAUACCACUGGAGACCAGGCAUUUCCUGUUCAAACAUGGAUCUGGUUCCUCUGCUAUCUUCAGUGCAGCCAGUCAGAACUACCCUCUGACUUCCAAUACUGUCUACUCACCACCUCCCAGGCCACUGCCUCGAAGCACGUUUUCCCGACCUGCCUUCACGUUUAACAAACCGUAUAGAUGCUGCAACUGGAAGUGUACAGCCUUGAGUGCCACUGCAAUCACAGUGACGUUGGCCUUGUUACUAGCCUAUGUAAUUGCAGUACACUUGUUUGGCCUGACGUGGCAGUUGCAACCAGUUGGACAGAUCUAUGCGAAUGGAAUUAGCAAUGGGAACCCAGGGACCGAGUCUAUGGAUACUACUUACUCUCCCAUUGGAGGAAAAGUUUCUGACAAAUCAGAGAAAAAAGUGUUUCCGAAGGGACGAGCAAUUGACACAGGGGAAGUUGACAUUGGAGCACAGGUCAUGCAGACCAUUCCCCCUGGCUUGUUUUGGCGUUUCCAGAUUACUAUCCACCAUCCUAUAUAUCUGAAAUUCAAUAUUUCUUUAGCCAAGGACUCUCUGCUGGGAAUUUAUGGCAGAAGAAACAUUCCACCUACACACACUCAGUUUGAUUUUGUGAAAUUAAUGGAUGGCAAGCAACUGGUGAAACAGGACUCUAAGAGCUCAGAUGACAUCCAGCACUCCCCAAGGAAUCUGAUCCUAACAUCACUCCAGGAGACAGGUUUCAUAGAGUACAUGGACCAAGGACCUUGGUAUCUGGCAUUUUACAAUGAUGGAAAGAAGAUGGAGCAAGUGUUUGUGCUAACUACAGCAAUUGGUAAGCUGCCAUGGCUGUUGUUUGAAUUCACAACAUAGUUCUAGAAAGUCACUGGUGGUUAAAAUAUUUGGUUACUCACAUACUGUUCCUUCUACCUUAAAGUUAUUAUUCAAUAAACGUCACUGCAAGUAACCUUUUAUUUUUGUUCUCAUUGCUGUUAAAAUUUUCUUAAAGCUCUCCAGUAUUUGCUGAUAUUCUAAGACACUUGUCAUGAAGCCCUUUCUAUGAUUUUAACAAAAAAUAUUCCCCGGAUAAUAUUGUUUAAAAAGAGAGAUAGAUGAACAACUUGAAAGAGAAAUUUUAUAAGCAAAAUUAUCUCUGUUAAACUGAGCCCAAAAACCUCACUCCUAUGACAGUGAC
rnacentral:lncRNA from 14 species